rnacentral:rRNA from 1 species
GGUGAACGCUGGCGGUAGGCCUAACACUUGCAAGUCGAACGGCAGCACAGUAAGAGCUUGCUCUUACGGGUGGCGAGUGGCGGACGGGUGAGGAAUACAUCGGAAUCUACUUUUUCGUGGGGGAUAACGUAGGGAAACUUACGCUAAUACCGCAUACGACCUACGGGUGAAAGCAGGGGAUCUUCGGACCUUGCGCGAUUGAAUGAGCCGAUGUCGGAUUAGCUAGUUGGCGGGGUAAAGGCCCACCAAGGCGACGAUCCGAAGAUGGUCUGAGAGGGUGAUCAGCCACACUGGAACUGAGACAGGGCCCAGACUCCUACGGGGGGCCGCAGUGGGGAAUAUUGGACGAGGGGGGCAAGCCUGAUCCAGCCAUACCGCGUGGGUGAAGAAGGCCUUCGGGUUGUAAAGCCAUUUUGUUGGGAAAGAAAAGCAGCAGGUUAAUACCCCGCUGUUCUGACGGUACCCAAAGAAUAAGCACCGGCUAACUUCGUG